UACGUAGGUGACAAGCGUUGUCCGGAUUUACUGGGCGUAAAGAGCGCGCAGGCGGUCGAUCAAGUCGAGUGUGAAAGCCCCCGGCUCAACUGGGGAGGGUCAUUCGAUACUGAUCGACUCGAAGGCAGGAGAGGGUAGUGGAAUUCCCGGUGUAGUGGUGAAAUGCGUAGAUAUAGGAAGGAACACCAGUGGCGAAGGCGACCACCUGGGCUCAUACUGACACUGAGGUGCGAAAGCGUGGGGAGCAAACAGG
rnacentral:rRNA from 1 species